CACAAGUGUAUUCUAACGUUGCUGCAGUUAAAAGGCUCGUAGUUGAUUUAAGAAGACGUCUCUCUCUCUCGUGUGACUGCUUGAGGCGUAUCCGUUCUUCCGUUUCGGAGGCGGGCGCUUAGGUUUGCGAGAGGGUAAGAAGAAAAGACGAUUUGCUACUUUGAGGAAAAGGUGUGGCUUCAGCAUAAGAGAGUAUGCCUUUUAGCAUGGAAUAGCACGAUAUGGUUUUUGUGUCUUUGUCUCUUCUUUUCUUUAAUCUCAUUCGUGGGUAGAAGAGGAGGAGGGCGAGGAGCAAGAACAAUACAAUAUAUGGACAAGCAGCGGUGAUGGUAUUAUGUGCCGAGGGGUGAAAUCUUUAGACGCACAUACGACGAACAAAAGCGAAGGCAAUCACCGAACCUGUACCAUUUGA
rnacentral:rRNA from 1 species